CCUACGGGUGGCAGCAGUGAGGAAUAUUGGUCAAUGGCCGUAAGGCUGAACCAGCCAAGUAGCGUGAGGGAAGACUGCCCUAUGGGUUGUAAACCUCUUUUAUGCGGGGAUAAAGGUGUCCACGUGUGGAUGUUUGCAGGUACCGCAUGAAUAAGGACCGGCUAAUUCCGUGCCAGCAGCCGCGGUAAUACGGAAGGUCCGAGCGUUAUCCGGAUUUAUUGGGUUUAAAGGGAGCGUAGAUGGGUUGUUAAGUCAGUUGUGAAAGUUUGCGGCUCAACCGUAAAAUUGCAAUUGAUACUGGGGGUCUAGAGAACAGUUGGGGGAGGCGGAAGUGGUGGUGUAGCGGUGAAAUGCUUAGAGAGCACAAAGAACCCCGAUUGCGAAGGCAGUUUACUAAUCUAUGACUGACAUUGAUGCUCGAAAGUGUGGGUAUCAAACAGGAUUAGAGACCCGAGUAGUC
rnacentral:rRNA from 1 species